GACAGAGGUGCCAAGCGUUAGGCGGAAUCACUGGGCUUAAAGCGUGCGCAGGCGGUUCGUUAAGUCAGAUGUGAAAGCCCCGGGCUCAACCUGGGAACUGCAUUUGAAACUGGCGGGCUUGAGUGUGGCAGAGGGGGGUGGAAUUCCGCGUGUAGCAGUGAAAUGCGUAGAGAUGCGGAGGAACACCGAUGGCGAAGGCAGCCCCCUGGGCCAACACUGACGCUCAGGCACGAAAGCGUGGGGAGCAAACAGG
rnacentral:rRNA from 1 species